CAGGACGAACGCUGGCGGCGUGCUUCAUACAUGCAAGUCGAACGAGAAAUUACCUUCGGGUAAUGGAAAGUGGCGGACGGGUGAGUAAUGUGUAGAGAAUCUGCCCUAGAGAGGGGGACAACCGUUGGAAACGACAGCUAAUACCCCAUAUGAGCGUACCUGAAAUGGUAUUCUUGAAAACUCCGGUGCUCUGGGAUGAGUCUGCAUCUGAUUAGCUAGUUGGGGGUGUAAUGGACCACCAAGGCGACGAUCAGUAGCUGGUUUGAGAGGAUGAUCAGCCACAAUGGGACUGAGACACGGCCCAUACUCCUACGGGAGGCAGCAGUAGGGAAUUUUGCGCAAUGGGCGAAAGCCUGACGCAAGCAACGCCGCGUGAUCGAGACGCUUUUCGGAGUGUAAAGAUCUGUCACAGGGGACGAACGAUGACGGUACCCUGAGAGGAAGCACCGGCUAACUCCGUGCCAGCCGCUGC
rnacentral:rRNA from 1 species